UUGGUUCUUUGCAGAUGAGUUCCCUUCAGUCUCUGGAGGCUGCUCUGAAUUAGUUAGAAUAGGGUUUUGUUCCAAUGAAAUUAGAAUUUAUACUCUGAUUUUUGUGGCUUUGUGGGCUCAAAAUGAGGGCAACUCAAGCCCAUGACUUUCUGUUAUAUUUUUUUUAUUUUUAAAACGUGUGGGCUUCGCCUAGCGAGCAUGACAAUUCAGACUCUG
rnacentral:lncRNA from 1 species